GAUGAAGAACGCAGCGAAAUGCGAUAAGUAAUGUGAAUUGCAGAAUUCAGUGAAUCAUCGAAUCUUUGAACGCACAUUGCGCCCGCCAGUAUUCUGGCGAGCAUGCCUGUCUGAGCGUCAUUUCAACCCUCAUGCCCCUAGGGCGUGGUGUUGGGGAUCGGCCAAAGCCCGCGAGGGACGGCCGGCCCCUAAAUCUAGUGGCGGACCCGUCGUGGCCUCCUCUGCGAAGUAGUGAUAUUCCGCAUCGGAGAGCGAUGAGCCCCUGCCGUUAAACCCCCAACUUUCCAAGGUUGACCUCAGAUCAGGUAGGAAUACCCGCUGAACUUAAGCAUAUCAAUAAGCGGAGGA
rnacentral:misc_RNA from 1 species